rnacentral:rRNA from 1 species
UACGGAGGGUGCGAGCGUUAUCCGGAUUCACUGGGUUUAAAGGGUGCGUAGGUGGGAAUGUAAGUCAGUGGUGAAAUCUCUGAGCUUAACUCAGAAACUGCCAUUGAUACUAUGUUUCUUGAAUUUUCUGGAGGUCAGCGGAAUAUGUCAUGUAGCGGUGAAAUGCUUAGAUAUGACAUAGAACACCAAUUGCGAAGGCAGCUGGCUACAGGGAUAUUGACACUGAGGCACGAAAGCGUGGGGGAUCAAACAGGA